CCUACGGGUGGCUGCAGUGGGGAAUAUUGGGCAAUGGGCGCAAGCCUGACCCAGCAACGCCGCGUGAAGGAAGAAGGCUUUCGGGUUGUAAACUUCUUUUGUCCGGGACGCACCAAGUGACGAUACCUGACGAAUAAGCCGCGGCUAACUACGUGCCAGCAGCCGCGGUCAUACGUAGGUGGCAAGCGGUAUCCGGAUUUAUUGGGUGUAAAGGGCGUGUAGGCGGGAAUGCAAGUCAGAUGUGAAAACUAUGUGCUCAACCCAUAGCCUGCAUUUGAAACUGUAUUUCUUGAGUGCGGGAGAGGCAAUCGGAAUGCGGGGUGUAGCGGUGAAAUGCGUAGAUAUAAGGAAGAACACCAGUGGCGAAGGCGGAUUGCUGGAGAGUAACUGACGCUGAGGCACGAAAGCGUGGGGAGCGAACAGGAUUAGAUACCCGGGUAGUC
rnacentral:rRNA from 1 species